AUUGAACGCUGGCGGCAGGCCUAACACAUGCAAGUCGAACGGUAACAGGAAGAAGCUUGCUUCUUUGCUGACGAGUGGCGGACGGGUGAGUAAUGUCUGGGAAACUGCCUGAUGGAGGGGGAUAACUACUGGAAACGGUAGCUAAUACCGCAUAACGUCGCAAGACCAAAGAGGGGGACCUUCGGGCCUCUUGCCAUCGGAUGUGCACAGAUGGGAUUAGCUAGUAGGUGGGGUAAAGGCUCACCUAGGCGACGAUCCCUAGCUGGUCUGAGAGGAGGACCAGCCACACUGGAACUGAGACACGGUCCAGACUCCUACGGGAGGCAGCAGUGGGGAAUAUUGCACAAUGGGCGCAAGCCUGAUGCAGCCAUGCCGCGUGUAUGAAGAAGGCCUUCGGGUUGUAAAGUACUUUCAGCGGGGAGGAAGGGAGUAAAGUUAAUACCUUUGCUCAUUGACGUUACCCGCAGAAGAAGCGCCGGCUAACUCCGUGCCAGCAGCCGCAGUAAUAC
rnacentral:rRNA from 1 species